rnacentral:rRNA from 1 species
UUAUUGGUUUAAAUUAUUUAAUUUAGUUUGAUUAUUAAAAAUUACAGUGAUGGAAUUAAAUUUAUAUAAAAAUUUUGGUUGAUCUUACCUUUUGUAUAAUGGUUUUACUAUAAUAAAAUUAUUUUAUUGUUCCCGAAUUAAGAAGAGCUAACUAUAGACUUCUCUUAGGAUUAUACGGCUUAUGUGGAAAUAUGGGCUCUAGAUUUAUAGUUAGGGGUGAAAUUCCUUCAAUUUUUAGGGUAUCUGGAAGCUGGGGAAAAGCAUUUAGUGCUUAAAAGUGAGGUGUAAAGUGUUUAGAUUUUACACAUAGAGGAUUAUAAUUUAAAUUAGAGAUUCUAGGGUUAAACUCCUUGAUUAUUUUUAAACUACAAAUUAAUUUUUUUUAAAUCUCUUAUCAUACCCAGCAUUUCUUUUUAACUUUUUAAAGAAGUUACAAUGUAAAAAUUAGUAAUAAUUGUUUUAAAUAAGUUUAUUAGUUUAAUUACUAUACUUUUUUAUUUUUAAAUAGUUUUAAGGAACUCGGCAAAAAUAGACUUGGACUGUUUAACAAAAACAUAGCCACUUGAAUAUAUUUGGGUUUAACCUGCCCAAUGUAACUAAUAUGAAUGCCCGCGGUACCUUGCCCGUGCUAAGGUAGCGUAAUCAGUUGGCUUUUAAAUGGAGUCAGGUAUGAAUGGGAUAACUGGGUCUAGCUGUCUCAGAAAUAUUUUUUUGAAUUUACUGUUUAAGUGAAAAAGCUUAAAUUUUAUAAAGGGACGAGAAGACCCUUGGAAUUUUUUUUAAUUUAGGAUUAUUCCUGAUGUUAUUUUGUUGGGGCGACAUAGAAAUAGUUAAAACUUUCUUUAUAACAUGAGUCGGAAUUUUCAGGAAAAGAUAAAUUACCCAAGGGAUAACAGCAUAAUUCUAUAAAUGAGUUUGUGACCUCGAUGUUGGACUAGGAAGCUGGCAGGUUAGCUGCUUGUCGUGCGAAUUCUGUUCGAAUUUUAACUCCU